AUGCAAGAUAGUGCUAAAAAGGAUGUGGAACGUGCUUUUGGUGUGCUUCGAUCCCGAUGGGGUAUCGUUCGAUACCCUGCAGUGUCAUGGGAUGAAAGGAAGCUUUGGGAGGUGAUGACUGCUUGUGUGAUCAUGCACAACAUGAUCGUCGAGGACGAGCGUGAUGACAGUAUCUUCGACCAAGGAUUUGAUUUUCAAGGUGACAAUGUUGAGCCCCUGCAUCAAGAACCAGCCAUGUUUGAUCAGUUUGUCCAGUUCCAUCGUGAGUUGCGUGAUUGUCACACUCAUUUGGAUCUUCAAAAUGACUUGGUUGAGCACGUGUGGGAUCAUAUUGGCAACCAAUAG
rnacentral:rRNA from 1 species